GUUUUUUUAAAUAUAUAUUUUAUAUAAAUAUUUAUUAUCUAUCUAUGGUGUAACGGUCCCAGCCUGAGGGGACCGUUCCACUUUGUGUUUUCUGUUUGUCCUUGACUUGUCUUGUCCUUGUGUGGCGGCACGAGAGCUGACAAAACCAAACACCGACAACGCCACUCGGGGAAUUUCACCCAAAGAAUUAGUUUGAAUCACCACUUCAAUAUAAUGUUUAAAGGACACACAGGUCAGUUUACAAGAAGGCGCCAAAGACGAGGUUCAACUUUAAAAAAAGUAUAAAUUUUUAUUACAAAAUCAAUGCAAUUAAAAACAAUCAAUUUAAAAAUACCUUCACACCAAUAGGGGACAAAUAAUUAGGGCUGAGGCUUACCUGAUGGAGGGGGAAAGGGGAACAAGGAUGGAACAGGAUCUCAGGGAAAGUCACCCGUGAACACGCAAACAAACAGUGAGCACAGCAAAUAAAAAAAGGGGAGAGGCACAGCACACUGGAAGGGAGAUACCACCUUCAGCUCUCAGCCACUAAAACAUGAGGGGGAACACACAAACAAAGGGAGUUCACUCUUCAACAAUAAAGUCAAAACAAUAUUGCAAAAAUGAAAAGACCAAACUGGAAAAAAACUACUUCAGCCACUCUUCAGGUAGGUGGGCUAACCCACAACAUUCAUACACUUAGGGACUGAGACCUACAUAAUGGCCCCACAGAAGCAACAGAGAAUGGUUGGAUGGCGGGCCGCAACAAUAAACCACAGUUCAAAUAGUAGUCUAUUUUAACAUCAUGUGUAGGCAAAACAAACAGCUGGUAAUUGAGAUGCUCGGCAGCUAAUAAGACUCUCCGGCAGCUUCAGUCCAAUCCCUAAUGUUUACACAAAACAACAAUUAACACCAAAUAAAGCUAAAGAAAUAACUCCCACCUCAUUUACCCACAUACCGUUACGCAGAGUUCGAGUCGCUCCAGAGGGAAGACGUCCCGAGAAUGCAACGUGCAGACAACUAUCAGUGCUACUCGCUUUGCAUUAUUGUGUUACUUCGGCGAGUAGGGGGAGGUGAAUCUGCCAGCCGAAGAUCUAAAAUGUUUAAUGCAUAGUAAAAUAACGGCCGCAAAUGAUUAACAACAUUUAGUGCAGAGGCAGCCAAACCACCACCUUACCCAACGCUCGAGCAGACAAAUCACAGCAGUCACAAGCCGGAAGUGCAGUGUGCUCCAGUCCCCAGCAAGCAAGGCAGUGGGUGGACUACUGGCUGUUUUUAUACGGCGCUCCACCAUUGUGAUUGGCCGAAAACGCACAGGUAGUUAUGAGCUAAAACUCAUACUGCUACAAUCUACCGCAACCUUUUCAUCGUCACCUUUUCAAACGAUACCCUAGACUAACUCCAAGGACGAAAGAGGGCCACUACUUCAUUAGACACAGGACCAUGGGGAUUAAGCGCAUUGUCUACUACCCCUACUGGUCUUGGCAGGUGAUAGACAUUAGAAUGCUGGCCGGCCGUUGGCCGGGCUGUCCGACGUCUGGCCACUUCACCCAUCACCGGCUGGAAGGCAGGCAGAAAGACCGGAGGACUAAUAGGUCUUGCUGCUGCCUCAGUAAUCGGGAUCACAGAGGGGCCUGGCCCAGUAAAUACCGGGGCUGAUGGUAGGGGCUGUAUUCGAGGGGUGGUUUGGAUGACCACAGCCAUGCGAGUGGGAUUUACCGCAGGAACCUCUUGCCUCACAACAACCAGGUCAUCCCCGGACCACUCAUUCUCCGACUGAGGUGGGUCAACAAGGCGAAGCAGCAUUACUUAAAGGACGCGCGCAAACCACAGCCUUCAACAGGGCACAGUUAACUUGUCUGGCUUUGGUUGGUUCGUCCAUGGGUGCAAUAGUAUACACCGACCCUCCAUCUUUGGGCACCUUAAGGACCCUGUACUGCACCGGACCGUAGGCGUCACAAAGCUUAUGAUGGCCCGUGCCGAAAAAUCACGAAGCCAAACUAGCUGGCCCAUUUUAAGGGGGACAACUCUCACUCGCCGAUCAUAGUUCUUCUUACGCCGCUCUGCGGCAACCCACAGCCUCUCUGUAGCACCUUCAAAGGCCAGCUGUAAGCGGGUCUGGUGCUCCUGGAUCCAUUCGUGGACAUGUCCACCCACAGGAUCCUGAACUCUACCCAACAAGAAAUCAAACGGCAACCUAGGUUCCUGACCGAAAAUUAGGAAUAACGGAGACUCGCCUGUCGCUUGAUGGGGAGUGGUGUUGUAAGAAAAGAGGACCUGUGGCAAGCAGUCUCUCUUCCGAGACACUGGCAGAGUACGCAACAAAUUAUGGAGCGUCCUAUUGAACCGUUCGCAUUGGCCAUUACCGGCCGGAUGGUAUGGCGUAGUGCGAGACUUUUCAAUGCCAUAAAAAUGACAAAGCUGUUGAAUAAGGGAGCUCUCAGAGUGGAUACGGGCCGGAACUCCAAACUUGGAGAACCACUCCACCACCAAAGCUUGAGCCACAGUAGGUGCUCGUUGGUCCCGGGUGGGGACAGCAAGUGUAUACUUACUGAACACAUCAGUCAUGACCAGGACAUUCUCCAAACCACCCUGGGUGGGUUCUAACAUGGUGUAGUCAAUGGCUACAAUCUCGUUAGGCCGCGAGGCCAACAAGUGUCCCAUAAGACUAGACUUGGCUAAUCGAGAGUCCUUGGCAACUUGGCACCUCUCACAAGACUGACACCACCGAGACACGUCCGAGGACAUCCCGGGCCAAUAGCAGCGUUGGUGUAGAAGCUCUAAAGUCCUCUCUACGCCCUGGUGGCCGUGCUCCUGAUGGACCUUAGUCAACACCUCUUCCCUUAAGGAGACAGGCACUACCACCUGCAAGACUACUUCCCCACCAUCAGGCCGAAACACCUGGUGAUACAAAACACCACUUCUCUCAGCCAAGCGGUCCCAUUGCUGAAGCAACACCAAUACAGGCCGAGAUGCCCUUUGACGUUCUUCGAAGUUGGGACGCUGCUCUCGUCUCCAAAACACAAGAGCCUCCUGGAUAACUGAGUCAGCCUGUUGCAGGGCAUAAAUAUCAGACGUAGUGUAAUGAGGCAGGGCCAUAAUGGCAGUUUAAGUUGCCUCAACCAGCAUCCCCUGAAGGGCCUGCUGUAGUGGUUUGGGGAGUGAUGUGCCAGGAAGCAUAGCUUCCAUAUUUGCUGGACCAGGUGGAUACUGACGUGAUAGAGCAUCUGCAUUCCUGUUACUUCGGCCGGAGCGGUAUUUGACCUCGAAGUCAAAUGAUGCCAGCUGAGCAGCCCAACGUUGCUCUGUUGCACCAAGCUUAGCGGAUGACAACUGACUAAGUGGAUUGUUAUCAGUAAAAACCACACACUUAUGGCCCAGCAGGUACUCCCGAAACUUUUCUGUCAUGGCCCAUUUGAGGGCCACAAACUCCAAUCUCAUAGAGCUGUAGUUCACCAUGUUGCGCUCCGGGUUAGGGCUAGGGCCUCAAGCCCCGACUGGCAUAGGCAAUAGGCCUAACUUUACCAACUUGUUCUUGCGAUAACACUGCCCCAAGGCCACCAUGACUUGCAUCCACCUCCAAAAUGAAGGGAAGAGAAAAGUCAGCAUAAGCAAGCACUGGGGCACUUGUGAGCUUGGUUUUCAGUGCUUCAAAACUGCAAUGGCACUCCUCUGUCCAAUUAUCAACAAAUGUUUGCUCUACCCUCCUCUUGGACUUGGUUGGCGCCAGGUACGCCACGAACUUAUGUAAAGGGGCCGCCAUCUUAGCAAAACCUUCCACAAAACGGCGGUAAUAGCUGGCGAACCCAAGAAACGACCGCAGCUCUGAAACGGUCGCAGGGGGCUGCCAGUUAGCCACUACCUCCACCUUGCUGGGGUCUGUGGCCACCCCGUCACUGGAUAUCACAUGCCCCAGGUAACGUACCUCCUGCUGGAAAAAGGCACAUUUGGUGAGCUUUGCCUUGAGAUUCUCCUUUUGCAGCCAACUCAACACCACUUCCAAUCUCUCCAAGUGCUGCUGUAUGGUAGAAGAGAACUACAAUAUCAUCAAGGUAAAGCAACAAAGACCGAUUUUGUUGAUCCCCAAACAGACGUUGCAUCAACCGCUGAAAAGUGCCGGGGGCAUUACAGAGCCCGAAGGGCAUGCGAUUCCACUCAAAAAGCCCAAACGGAGUGCAGUUUUGGAUCGAUCUGCCUCAGUAACUGGGACCUGAUUAUACCCGCUGGCCUCCAACGAUUCCUCGAUGCGCGGAAGAGGGAAAGCAUCUUUCUGGGUUUUACAGUUGAGCUGCCGGUAAUCAACACACAUUCGUAGGGUUCCAUCCUUCUUCUUGACGAGGACAAUGGGGCUAGCGUAGGGACUACUACUCUCCCUGAUUACCUGUGACUCGAGCAAUUGAUGUAUAUGCUCUUUAACCACCUCGUACUCAGACGGCGGAAUACGCCUAUGGCGUUGCCUGACCGGCACGUCGUCUACGAGAGGAAUGUCAUGGGUAAUCAGGUUGGUGCACCCAAGGUCCCAGUCGUGGGCAGAAAAGACGGAAUUAUAUCGCCCAAGAAGAGACUUCACCGGACCCUGUUCCUCAGCAGACAAUGAUGACAGGUCCAUAUUAUCUAACUGAUCCUGCACUGUGAGAGCAGCAGUCUGAGAUGCCACUGUGGCCACACCGGCCGGCACCUCUGUGACUCCGGUGGGCAAGCUGACGACACGAACCUCAUCCAGGGUACCUACAAUGAUUGUCUCCUCUCCCUGAGUGUAUUAUCCGCCAUUACGUUCAUCACGGCGAUCGCGACCGUUGCAUAUGUGGGUUUGGAAGAGAAGUUGAGCUUCUGCUGGACGUAAAAGUUGGGACAGCGACAUGUCUUCCAUUCUGAUGCUGGUUCACCUUUUGCCACCCUCAAGUCAAGGCCGCAAAACACCGGGAAAGAUCUCAGCGAGAAAAGCAUGUGAUUGUCUUGUGAAAUUCAUCAAGACCGGUACCAGUAUCCAAGGGCACUUGGAUACCAUUGGAGAGAGCCUCCAGCCAUAUCUGCUUGUUGUUGGGCCAAGGAGAAGUAGGGUCCAGUCUUGUUUUAUUGUUAUUGACAAACAUGCUCUACCCUGUAAGGCCUCUAAUUCACUGGCCUGUGUUGAUGAGCUUUUCAAAGCUCACUUUGUCUUUGGCACCUCAUACUGUCAGGAACUUACCAAUGUGUACAACUUUCUGCAAACCACUGUCUAUGACAUAGAUGUUGAAACCACCAAGGUGAAUCCUAGAGUGGCUGAGUUAAGAGCUAGAAUGCUCCAGUGAGCAGAUGAUUUGUUUCAUAUGUAAAAGGGGGCAUGCUAGUGCCAAUGCCCUUAUAAGGCACUUUAAGUUAGUUCAUGGCCUUUGUCCAGGCAAAAGUUUGAAGUUAAAAUGUGCUCAAAGAGGUUGUUCACAUGUUUACCAUAGUUUUUCUGGAUUACGAAAGCAUCUCAGCAAGUGUUGUGCGAUUGACCGUUCACACCUCGAUUAUGGUGAAAGCUCAUCCAACGCCAACUCCAUUUCACUAGGGGAUGUAGGUGUUUUACCAAACCAAAAUUCAACUUGUGAGUCUGUACUCCCAAAAACAAAUAUAGAAAACAGUUGUGCAACAGUGGUAGCCGAACUUAAAGUUGUUGGUGUAGCAGAGACAACUAUUAACUAUGUUGUUAGUGCUCUAGAAGAAGUGGUUGGAGACGUUUAUAGUCAAACACAAGAGUCUGUGAAAAAGAGCUUAUCUUUAGAGGAGCCCAUAAAAAGUUUGGUUGAGUCUCAAAUUGAUCAGUGUUUUGAAAAAAUGCAAAAUCCUUUUGUGGCAUUAAACACUGAGAGUAAGAGAAUGCAGUACUUUUCGGACAAAUGGGGGAAAAUAGAUCCUGUUGAAUAUGUUCUCGGUACAAGAUUUGCUACACGGCGUAAUAGAACAAUUGGAACUUUCGCCCAAACCAUUGUUAAGGAUAAAUUUGUAUAUAUACCAAUUAUUGAGACAAUACAGUCGAUUUAUAAGCACCCUAACAUUAAAGAUAUGAUGAUGAGGGAUUCACAACAAAUACCAAAUUUUCUUUAUGACAUACAAGAUGGAGAAUUAUUUAAGAAUCAUGCGCUCUUUUCAAAACAAAGACAUGCUGUUCAGAUCCAGCUUUUUUUGAUGAAUUUGAAUGCUCAAAUCCCCUUGGAUCAAAAAAGGGAAUACAUAAAUUAGGAGCUAUCUAUUUUACCCUUAGAAAUAUUUCCCCUAAAUACAAUUCGAGUUUUCUAAAUAUUCAUUUAGUUGGUUUAUUUCAUUCCUUAUUUGGUUUUGUAGAAUCUUUCAGUGCUAGGUACUGUUGCCGCUUUUGCCUACUAGAGAAAGAAGACUUUCAGACAGAGUUCAGUGAAGAUAGUCCAAAGAUGUCAGUGCGAACUAAAGAACUUCAUGCUGAACAUUGUCAGAGUAUGCAGAACAAUCCCAGUCUACCUUAUGUAAUGGGAGUAAAAAAGUCUUGCCUUUUAAAUUCGUUGCAAUAUUUCCACACCACUGCAAAUUUUUCAGUUGAUAUCAUGCAUGAUAUAUUAGAGGGUGUCGGACAAUAUGAAAUGAAAUUACUCCUUCAGCACCUGAUUGACAAUUACACCACACCAGCAGAAGUACACAGAAGAAUUCAGAGUUUCAACUAUGGCUUCUUGGAACAAAACAACAAACCUCCUGGUGUAGCAUUAAGAGAGGGUUCCAAUGACUUGGGCUUAAAUGCCACCCAGAGCUGGUGUUUACUGCGUCAUCUACCCAUUAUGUUUGGAGAUCUUGUCUGUCCUAAUGAUCAUCACUGGUAUUUGUUUAUUUUAUUGCUUCAGAUAGUCAAUAUAGUGUUUUCUUCAGUUAUAUCCACUGGUAUCACUAUUUAUUUGAAACACCUGAUUGCAGAGCACCACAGUUUGUUUAAGCAUUUGUUUCCUGACAAGAACUUGUUGCCAAAGCAUCAUUUUAUGGUGCAUUACCCCAGUUGUAUGCAGAAAAUUGGACCAUUGCUACAUAGUUGGUGCGUGCGUUAUGAAGCGAAGCAUAACUUUUUUUAAAAGCAGUUGAAAAGCUUUAAAAACAUAACAAAAACAUUAGCAAAAAACACCAGUGCCAAAUCGCUUACAUUUGGCAAACAUUUGAUCCAAAUGACAUGAAAUUAGGUCCUGGGAAAAUGACUCCCUUAAAUGAAAUGGAAGUUGGUGCUGAGAUUGCGGAGAAACUUAAUGUACCUAUGUGGACUAAGGUUCUAAAUGUAAAAUGGGUCAAGCGCUGUGGAAUUACUUACCGUUUAGGAUUAGCAGUUUGUGUUCAAGUUCAAAAUGAAAUGCCUGUAUUUCAUGUAAUCCAGAAUAUUGUUAUCAAAGAUGAGCAGAUCCUUUUGAUUACAACUGCACUAAAAACGUUUUGUUUAGCUGAACAUGUCAAUUCUUACAAAGUUGCACAUACUGCAGAAGCACCUUCUGUUUUGGAGAUUAGGGAUAUUUUGCACCACAAGUUGUUUGAUAUUCUUAUGUCUUAUGGUUUGGAUUCUGAUUUGUUUAUUGUACCAUAUUGUUUCAUAUAAUUCUUCAUCCUUUCUCUUACAUUAUCACUAUCACAAUUUUCUAUUAUUUUAGUAUUAUUGUUUUCAUUAUUUGUUUAUUUUAUGAUCACAAGUGAAUUAAACGGGGUGCUAAUGUUUUUAUUAUUUUAGUAUUGUUUUCAUUAUUUAUUUAUUUUAUGAUCACAAGUGAAUUAAACGGGGUGCUAAUGUCUUUAUUAUUUUAGUAUUGUUUUCAUUAUUUGUUUUAAGCUC
ensembl:lncRNA